rnacentral:misc_RNA from 1 species
AGCAGCCGCGGUAAUUCCAGCUCCAAUAGCGUAUAUUAAAGUUGUUGCAGUUAAAAAGCUCGUAGUUGAAUUUCGGGGUUAGUAGGUUGGUCAUGCCUCUGGUAUGUACUGGUCUCACUGAUUCCUCCUUCCUGAUGAGCCGUAAUGCCAUUAAUUUGGUGUUGCGGGGAAUUUGGACUGUUACUUUGAAAAAAUUAGAGUGUUUAAAGCAAGCUAACGCUUGAAUACAUUAGCAUGGAAUAAUGAAAUAGGACGUUCGAUCCUAUUUUGUUGGUUUCUAGGAUUGACGUAAUGAUUAAUAGGGAUAGUUGGGGGCAUUAGUAUUCAAUUGUCAGAGGUGAAAUUCUUGGAUUUAUUGAAGACUAACUACUGCGAAAGCAUUUGCCAAGGAUGUUUUCAUUAAUCAAGAACGAAAGUUAGGGGAUCGAAGACGAUCAGAUACCGUCGUAGUCUUAACCAUAAACUAUGCCGACUAGGGAUCGGAUGAUGUUAAUUUUUAAUUGA